rnacentral:rRNA from 1 species
GAGUUUGAUCAUGGCUCAGAACGUACGCUGGCGGCACGCCUAACACAUGCAAGUCGAACGAAGUAGCAAUACUUAGUGGCAGACGGGUGAGUAACAUGUAGGUAUCUGCCCUUUGGCCUGGAAUAACACGAGGAAACUUGUGCUAAUACCGGAUAAGUCUUUACGGAGAAAGCUUUAUGCACCAUUGGAUGAGCCUGCACUUGAUUAGUUUGUUGGUGGGGUAAUGGCCUACCAAGACUGUGAUCAAUAGCUGAUUUGAGAGGAUGAUCAGCCACAUUGGGACUGAGACACGGCCCAAACUCCUACGGGAGGCAGCAGUGGGGAAUCUUGCACAAUGGAGGAAACUCUGAUGCAGCGAUGCCGCGUGAGUGAAGAAGGCCUUUGGGUUGUAAAGCACUUUCGUCGGGGAAGAAAAUGACUGUACCCGAAUAAGAAGGUCCGGCUAACUUCGUGCCAGCAGCCGCGGUAAUACGAAGGGACCUAGCGUAGUUCGGAAUUACUGGGCUUAAAGAGUUCGUAGGUGGUUGAAAAAGUUAGUGGUGAAAUCCCAGAGCUUAACUCUGGAACUGCCAUUAAAACUUUUCAGCUAGAGUAUGAUAGAGGAAAGCAGAAUUUCUAGUGCAGAGGUGAAAUUCGUAGAUAUUAGAAAGAAUACCAAUUGCGAAGGCAGCUUUCUGGAUCAUUACUGACACUGAGGAACGAAAGCAUGGGUAGCGAAGAGGAUUAGAUACCCUCGUAGUCCAUGCCGUAAACGAUGUGUGUUAGACGUUGGAAAUUUAUUUUCAGUGUCGCAGGGAAACCGAUAAACACACCGCCUGGGGAGUACGACCGCAAGGUUAAAACUCAAAUGAAUUGACGGGGACCCGCACAAGUAGUGGAGCAUGUGGUUUAAUUCGAAGAUACGCGCAGAACCUUACCAACACUUGACAUGUUCGUCGCGACUCUAAGAGAUUAGAGUUUUCGGUUCGGCCGGACGAAACACAGGUGCUGCAUGGCUGUCGUCAGCUCGUGUCGUGAGAUGUUGGGUUAAGUCCCGCAACGAGCGCAACCCUCACUUUUAGUUGCCAUCAUUAAGUUGGGCACUCUGAAAGAACUGCCAGUGAUAAGCUGGAGGAAGGUGGGGAUGACGUCAAGUCCUCAUGGCCCUUACGUGUUGGGCUACACACGUGCUACAAUGGUAUUUACAACAGGAAGCAAGACUGCGAAGUUAAGCAAAUCCCUAAAAGAUACCUCAGUUCGGAUUGCACUCUGCAACUCGAGUGCAUGAAGCUGGAAUUACUAGUAAUCGUGGAUCAGCGUGCCACGGUGAAUGCGUUCCCGGGUCUUGUACACACCGCCCGUCACACCAUGGGAGUUGGUUCUACCUUAAGGCAAGGUUUCAAACCCUUGACCACGGUAUAGUCAGCGACUGGGGUGAAGUCGUAACAAGGUAACC